rnacentral:rRNA from 1 species
GGUUAAGCGACUAAGCGUACACGGUGGAUGCCCUGGCAGUCAGAGGCGAUGAAGGACGUGCUAAUCUGCGAUAAGCGUCGGUGAGGUGAUAUGAACCGUUAUAACCGGCGAUUUCCGAAUGGGGAAAC